rnacentral:rRNA from 1 species
UACAGAGGUGGCAAGCGUUGUUCGGAAUUAUUGGGCGUAAAGAGCGUGUAGGCGGCCAGACAGGUCCGUUGUGAAAACUAGAGGCUUAACCUCUAGACGUCGAUGGAAACCGUCUGGCUAGAGUCCGGAAGAGGAGAAUGGAAUUCCUGGUGUAGCGGUGAAAUGCGCAGAUAUCAGGAAGAACACCCGUGGCUAAGGCGGUUCUCUAGUACGGUACUGACGCUGAGACGCGAAAGCGUGGGGAGCGAACAGG